GCAGAUGAGUAGAAGCUCUCUUCUCCAAAAAAAUUGAAAAGUCACCGGGAUCUGCGUUCUAUGGCUGCGACAGUCUCGCUCUCUUUCUCCAUAGAUCCACAACACCAUCACUUCUCCUUGAAGACGCACUUCAAACCCCACCCAACACAUCUUUUCACUCCCUUACCGCCUAUCCUCAAACACCCACUUCUUAUUUCUCGCAAAUACAAUCGUUACGCCUCCAAAUCUUCGUCCUCUUCCUCCCACUCCACUCCUUCAACAGCCACAAGCUCUUCUUAUCCUGAAGACCCAUUUCGAACAGGUCGGUUUCUGAGCAAUGAAGAACUUGAAAAGCUCAAACUCCUUGGGGAUUUCGAGUAUUAUCGAGAGCUGGAAUUUGGGUCAUUGUCGAUUCGGGUAAUGAGGGCGGAGGAGAUGGACGCUACCGUUGCUUUGCUUGCCGAAUCCUUUGCAGAGUCCAUGCUUUGGCCUUCUGGGUACCUGUCCCUGCUGAGGUUUUUAGUGAAACAGUACUUGAUUGAGAGACGAUCUCUAAUGCCCCACACCGCCACGCUUAUUGGUUUUUACAGAAGAAAAGAAAAUGGAAUAUCAGUACAAGAAGAGCAGCUGGCGGGGACUGUUGAGGUUUGCUUUGAUAAAAGGGGUGCAAAUGCUUCUCCUCCCACGCCUACUCCUCCCAAGAAUUCACCGUAUAUCUGUAAUAUGACCGUCAAAAAGCCACUUCGCAGGAGGGGCAUUGGCUGGCAUCUCCUAAAGGCAAGUGAGGAACUAAUUUCGGAGAUGAGUUUCUCAAGAGAGGUCUACUUACACUGCAGAAUGAUUGAUGCAGCUCCAUUCAAUAUGUAUGCAAAAGCAGGCUACAGCAUCGUCAAGACAGAUAGUAUUUUAAUCCUGUUGAUGUUGCAGAGACGUAAGCAUUUGAUGUGCAAGAAACUUCAAGCCCGAAGAAGCCUUUCUGAUAUGUCAGAUUCUGAUGAAGAAUGAGCAUCUUGAAUGGAUACGUGGACCAUAACUAUAUAUAUGAGGCCUUUUGGGGUUAUUUUCCAGGACAUGAGUCAACGCGAUUGCAAUAAUCGACCAGCUGGGUUGAAUUGUUGCUUUGAGGUGAACCUUGAUACUCCAGCAUCUUUUUGUAUUCUGUUGUGUAUGGUUUGCAAACAUGGCUAUAGACUCCAAGGUGUACGAACUUCGGCUCAGCUCUGGAUCUAUCACCUUAUGCAGUUUCUUCCGAUCAUUCAAUAUUUGCCUUACCUGAAAUAUAAAGGAAUGUACAUUUACCCUUCUGUCAUUUUUAGUUCCAAAGAUUCUUGGAAGACAUUUUUCUUACCUGUAGUACAAGGUUUUGAUCGUUUGGUCCCUGGUUUAAGUCCACGGCUCGACGUCCAGUCAGAAGCUCAAGAAGAACCACUCCAAAUGCAUAAACAUCACUUUGUAGAGUGAGUUUCCCUGUCUGUUGUCGAAGCAGACAUUUCAAUGCUCAGAGUCCACUUGUUAAAUCCACCGGAAUUAGAGAAAAAAAGAAAAGAAGGGAAGAGAAGAGAAGAGAACAAAUUCUACUAGCAAAGUAUUUAGAAAGUGAGGUAUUAAAUUGUAGAACAACAGCAUAUUGUUUUUGUUUUGCAUACUCGGUAUUGUUGAAAACUGUUUGGAAUAUGUUCAUAUGUUAUGUGUUUGUUUCGAGUGUGGAUUGGUCCAAUUGGAACGCCGUGUUGCCAUGUAAGAAAUACAUUUAAGAUAUUAAUCACUGUAUUCUGUGAGGGCAUUCAGAGCAACA